rnacentral:rRNA from 1 species
UGCCAGCCGCCGCGGUAAUACGAAUGGUGCAAGCGUUGUUCGGAAUCACUGGGCAUAAAGAGCACGUAGGCGGCGAUAUAAGUCAGGUGUGAAAUCCCUCGGCUCAACCGAGGAACUGCACCUGAUACUGUGUUGCUAGAGGGCGGGAGGGGAGAAUGGAAUUCCUGGUGUAGAGGUGAAAUUCGUAGAUAUCAGGAGGAACACCGAUGGCGAAGGCAUCUCUCUGGGCCGAUAUUGACGCUGAGGCGCGAAGGCGUGGGUAGCGAACGGGAUUAGAUA